rnacentral:pre_miRNA from 15 species
GUGAGGACUCGGGAGGUGGAGGGUGGCCUCUUGAGGGCCGGGCGUUGUCUCAGUUCGCUUCUUCCCCCCACCUCCUCUCUCCUCAG